rnacentral:rRNA from 1 species
GAGUUACUAGUAAUCGCAGAUCAGAAUGCUGCGGUGAAUGCGUUCCCGGGUCUUGUACACACCGCCCGUCACACCACGGGAGUUGGAGACGCCCGAAGCCGACUAUCUAACCUUUUGGAAGAAGUCGUCGAAGGUGGAAUCAAUAACUGGGGUGAAGUCGUAACAAGGUAGCCGUAUCGGAAGGUGCGGCUGGAUCACCUCCUUU